rnacentral:lncRNA from 1 species
UGGGAGUGAAUUCAGAGUCAACUUCGCUCUGAUCUAGAGUCUAUCGGCAGACUGAACACAGGCAAUGUUCUCUUCUGCACAACUUGUGGGCUAGAUACGAAUGACAACUAAUUUCUCUGCCAGAGCUAAAUGUUCUGUUCUCCUACCUCCAAGAUCAGCCAAUUGCUGGACUGAAAAUGGCUCAGCCUGGAGCAUUCCUUUGAACAAUCUGACCAAGCCAGUUCCGCCCAACUUCCCCAGCAUGUACAGGAAGCGGAAGUGGGGACGUUUGCCCACCAGUGCAUCAGUGAGACAUCCCAGGAGGCUUUAUGGCUCUGCUUCAACAUCCCAGAGACAGGUUCCAGGCAAUGUCUUCCCAAGUUGUGAUGAAAAACAUGGCAUACUCUGGGAAGAGCGCCAUCAAACAGAAAGGCGGGCUCAUUAUAACAUUCCGGUGCGUCUUCAUCCACCUUAUUCACUGCGUCUGGCACGGUAAAACUCCUGCUCUCCCCAGAGUUAAAAUGACCGUGAAAGGAAACUUGUGACUUAAUUCAGGACACUGAGGCAGCCUCAGCAGCUCAACUAACGACAUUCAGCAAAGAGAAUCACAGAACUGCUUCAGAAAGAUGGGAUGAGUGUGUCUGAAGCAAGGGGGAGGAUAAGGAGAAGGAUUAACAGCAGCGUGUCUUUUACUAUAAUAAUUUAUUAAACACUCACCAUAUUUUUUUAACACACCUCUUAUCUGAUCCACAGUUUGUUGUACCAACCUGUAAAAUAUAGGUGCUUUUCUAGAAAACAAAUUCCAGAUAAAAAAAAAAAAAGAAAAAUUUUAAAAUACCAGAGGAUCUGGUGACACCAGCACUGCCUGGUAAGGAGGCAGGAAGAGCUGGAAAAGAGUGGAGUCGGAGGGGCAGAGAGAAGAGGAGACAAUAGGGCCACGGACGGGAAGCGAACGGGCAAGUCUGAGGGAGAGGCCAAGAGCGGGGUCCUCCCCACAGACCUGUGCAUGGCGUUUAGGAAGAUGCCCUUGAAGUGGCAAGAGCUUCACUAGUUAGGCACGCAGGAGACCAAAAGGGAUUCAAGAAGAGAAUAGGAAGAAGUAAAAUUAGCGAGAAGGCCGAGCGUGCAGACUGGCCUUCAAAACCAAGUUAGAAUUCCGCUGUGAGCUCGGGAAAGUAGCGUCUGGCAACAGCGAAGAGCUGCAGCUGCCAAGGAGAAGAUGAAUGUGCCCGAGGGAGGGCACGGUCAGGGUCACAGUCACGGCGACACUGCAGAGGAAACCAGCAUGUCUGAGUGCGAAGCACAGGCAGCCGUACAUGCACCUCACAGGAGGGACGGCAGCACAGCCCGGUGCCCACCACCUCGGGCGGGACGCAUGCAGAAGGCAGGCUGUGCUUCCCGAAG